GACGAACGCUGGCGGCGUGCUUAACACAUGCAAGUCGAACGGAAAGGCCCUUCGGGGUACUCGAGUGGCGAACGGGUGAGUAACACGUGGGUGAUCUGCCCUGCACUUUGGGAUAAGCCUGGGAAACUGGGUCUAAUACCGAAUAGGACCACGCGCUUCAUGGUGUGUAGUGGAAAGCUUUUGCGGUGUGGGAUGGGCCCGCGGCCUAUCAGCUUGUUGGUGGGGUAAUGGCCUACCAAGGCGACGACGGGUAGCCGGCCUGAGAGGGUGACCGGCCACACUGGGACUGAGAUACGGCCCAGACUCCUACGGGAGGCAGCAGUGGGGAAUAUUGCACAAUGGGCGCAAGCCUGAUGCAGCGACGCCGCGUGAGGGAUGACGGCCUUCGGGUUGUAAACCUCUUUCAAUAGGGACGAAGCGCAAGUGACGGUACCUAUAGAAGAAGCACCGGCCAACUACGUG
rnacentral:rRNA from 1 species